rnacentral:rRNA from 1 species
AAUAUUGGACAAUGGGGGAAACCCUGAUCCAGCCAUGCCGCGUGUUUGAAGAAGGUCUUCGGAUUGCAAAGCACUUUACGUUGGGAGGAAGGGCGUCAAGCUAAUACCUUGAUGCUUUGACGUUACCAACCGAAUAAGCACCUGCUAACUCUGUGCCAGCAGCCGCGGUAAUACAGAGGGUGCAAUCGUUAACCGGAAUUACUGGGCGUAAAGCGCGCGUAGGUGGUUUGUUAAGUUGGAAGUGAAAGCCCCGGGCUCAACCUGGGAACUGCUUUCAUAACUGCUGAGCUAGAGUACGGUAGAGGGUAGUGGAAUUUCCUGUGUAGCGGUGAAAUGCGUAGAUAUAGGAAGGAACACCAGUGGCGAAGGCGACUACCUGGACUGAUACUGACACUGAGGUGCGAAAGCGUGGGGAGCAAAC